GAUGGGGAUGCGUUCCAUUAGAUAGUAGGCGGGGUAACGGCCCACCUAGUCUUCGAUGGAUAGGGGUUCUGAGAGGAAGGUCCCCCACAUUGGAACUGAGACACGGUCCAAACUCCUACGGGAGGCAGCAGUGAGGAAUAUUGGUCAAUGGGCGAGAGCCUGAACCAGCCAAGUAGCGUGAAGGAUGACUGCCCUAUGGGUUGUAAACUUCUUUUAUAAAGGAAUAAAGUCGGGUAUGGAUACCCGUUUGCAUGUACUUUAUGAAUAAGGAUCGGCUAACUCCGUGCCAGCAGCCGCGGUAAUACGGAGGAUCCGAGCGUUAUCCGGAUUUAUUGGGUUUAAAGGGAGCGUAGAUGGAUGUUUAAGUCAGUUGUGAAAGUUUGCGGCUCAACCGUAAAAUUGCAGUUGAUACUGGAUAUCUUGAGUGCAGUUGAGGCAGGCGGAAUUCGUGGUGUAGCGGUGAAAUGCUUAGAUAUCACGAAGAACUCCGAUUGCGAAGGCAGCCUGCUAAGCUGCAACUGACAUUGAGGCUCGAAAGUGUGGGUAUCAAACAGGAUUAGAUACCCUGGUAGUCCACACGGUAAACGAUGAAUACUCGCUGUUUGCGAUAUACUGCAA
rnacentral:rRNA from 1 species